UCUAAAUUGUCAUAUUUUUGGGAGAUUUUCCCUGUUCUGCUGAAAUAAUUAAGAAAAAUAAAUUUAUAUUAUGAAAAUCCUGGCAGUAUAAUUAACAAUACAUAGCCAAAGUCUAGGACUAUACUGAAAUAAUAUAACAUAAUAAAACAUACAACUUUAAAACACAAGCUAACAAUAACAGAUGUUGUCAUUUAAGCUGUUCAGCCAACCACGGAUAAUCUCAAAUCACCAAUGUGAUUGGUCACUUUAUCCAUGUUUAUCACUGAAGGCCAUGGAAAUUAACAAAGGUGCUUUUUUGAAUGUUAUCAGUUAACUGAAAUUUGUUAGUGGAUUAGAUCUCUUUCUCAGUGCACAUUCAUGAUGAUAAAACUGCAGGCAUAACCAUACAUUGUGAAGUAUUUCAGCAGUACCAAUAGAAUUUGUUGGUAAAGGAAUUUUUCUCAGUGAAAACUCAUGAAGUAAGAAAGUUGAUGUUUGUUUAAAGCCUUAAUGCGGCAGUCGGAGAAACAGGAAAUUACCUGACUUUCAAAGCAUGUGAAGCAAGAGUGAAAAUCCGAAGCCAUCUUGAUUCAAUAUUUCGAACUUAGUUUGGUCACUCUGUAGAAUCUACAAUGGCAUCUUUCAGCAAGAUUUUAAAUUUACUCUGCUACCAUUGGACAAGAAAAAGCACGGAUAUAGACAGCUCCAGCUUCAAUAUCAUACAGAAAAUUUCUGGUUUAUACACACCUGUAACGCGACAGAUUCUUGAACAGGGUUUUGUAUAAUAAACU